CCUACGGGAGGCUGCAGUGGGGAAUUUUGGACAAUGGGCGCAAGCCUGAUCCAGCUAUUCCGCGUGUGGGAAGACGGCCUUCGGGUUGUAAACCACUUUUGUAGAGAACGAAAAGUCUAUUGAUAAUACCGAUAGAUGAUGACGGUACUCUAAGAAUCAGCACCGGCUAACUACGUGCCAGCAGCCGCGGUAAUACGUAGGGUGCGAGCGUUAAUCGGAAUUACUGGGCGUAAAGGGUGUGCAGGCGGUUUUGCAAGAUGGAUGUGAAAGCCCCGGGCUUAACCUGGGAAAGCCAUACAUGACUGCAAGACUAGAGUGCGUCAGAGGGGGGUGGAAGUCCAAGUGUAGCAGUGAAAUGCGUAGAUAUUUGGAAGAACACCGAUGGCGAAGGCAGCCCCCUGGGACGCAACUGACGCUCAUACACGAAAGCGUGGGGAGCAAACAGGAUUAGAUACCCCAGUAGUC
rnacentral:rRNA from 1 species